rnacentral:tRNA from 1 species
GUUAAUGUAGCUUAAAUUAAAGCAAAGCACUGAAAAUGCUAAGAUGAGUAUCCUUACUCCAUAAACA